UACGUAGGGUGCAAGCGUUGUCCGGAAUUAUUGGGCGUAAAGAGCUCGUAGGCGGUUUGUCGCGUCGAAUGUGAAAACCCGGGGCUCAACCCCGGGCCUGCAUUCGAUACGGGCAGACUAGAGUUCGGUAGGGGAGUCUGGAAUUCCUGGUGUAGCGAUGAAAUGCGCAGAUAUCAGGAGGAACACCGGUGGCGAAGGCGGGACUCUGGGCCGAUACUGACGCUGAGGUGCGAAAGCGUGGGGAGCAAACAGG
rnacentral:rRNA from 1 species